GACAUUCGGUAGCUCCCAGUUUCCCUGGUGCCUCGUGAAUAGCAGCAGCAUAGCCAUCUGGCUACAGGCCCUGUGUCCAUAUCCAUGCUGGGGACCUGCCACUAGGAGAGCCUGGAAUUGGGGGAGACGACUGCCACUGCCCGAGUUUCCAUGGUGUCCCAGCUGCAGGCUGCUAUGGAAUAUUAUUGAAGAUAAUGUAUGUGGUGCAUUGUUUAUCUGUGGAACAUUUGUGUAAUGAUGCAAAGAUGCAUUACAUUCUUUUAUGUUGCACUUGUUUAA